AUGCAAGACUACUUCACGGAGAAUCCUACAUAUCCACCACACCUCUUCCGGAGAAGGUACCGAAUGUGUCGAUCUAUUUUUGUGAAACUUGUUCAAGCUUGCGAGGCAAAUUGCCGGUAUUUUACUCAAAGAAGAAAUGUUGCGGGCUUAAAGGGAUUUAGUGCAUAUCAAAAAAUCUCCGCAGCUGUGCGGGUGAUUGCAUAUGGCGUUCUGGCUGACUAUGCCAAUGAGUACCUUCGCAUUGGUGAAGAUACUACAAUUGAGCCCGUGCAUAGAUUUGCAAAAGUGAUCGUCCGUGUCUUUGGUCCUGAGUAUCUUCGCACACCAACGAGGAUGACACAAAGAAAUUGA
rnacentral:rRNA from 1 species